ACUUAAAUUGAAGAGUUUGAUCAUGGCUCAGAUUGAACGCUGGCGGCAGGCCUAACACAUGCAAGUCGAGCGGUAGCACAGAGAGCUUGCUCUCGGGUGACGAGCGGCGGACGGGUGAGUAAUGUCUGGGAAACUGCCUGAUGGAGGGGAUAACUACUGGAAACGGUAGCUAAUACCGCAUAAUGUCGCAAGACCAAAGUGGGGACCUUCGGGCCUCAUGCCAUCAGAUGUGCCCAGAUGGGAUUAGCUAGUAGGUGGGGUAACGGCUCACCUAGGCGACGAUCCCUAGCUGGUCUGAGAGGAUGACCAGCCACACUGGAACUGAGACACGGUCCAGACUCUACGGGAGCAGCAGUGGGGAAUAUGCACAAUGGGCGCAAGCCUGAUGCAGCCAUGC
rnacentral:rRNA from 1 species